UGAGGUUCUGCCUUUUUUUUUUUUUUUUUUUUUUUUUUUUUUAGAGCCCUUGAGAUCCAGGUUAGGUUUUUGCUUGGAGUAGUUUGGGUGUCCUAUGGUGUUGUGUUACUAUCAUGCACUUAGGUCUGGGGAUGGGGGAAGGUGUUAAGGGGGAGUUCUCCCUGAAGUCUGCAUGGGCCAUGCUGAAUUCAGACUUGCUUUGCAAACUCAUUACAGGUCCUUGCUAUCAAAGGAACGGACCAGAGGCAAGGAAUUCUCUCACUCAAAUGUGUUCUCACUUACUCGUCCCUUCCCAAGUAAUUUCCAAAUUGCUUUAACAAAAAGAAGAAGAAGAAGAAGAA